CCAAUAGCGUAUAUUAAAGUUGUUGCAGUUAAAAAGCUCGUAGUUGAAUUUUGGGUCUGGCCGGGCGGUCCGCCCUCUGGGUGAGCACUGUUCCGACGCCGGGCCUAUCCUUCUGGUGAGUCGGCAUGUCCUUUAUUGGGUGUGCCGGGGAACCAGGACCAUUACCUUGAAAAAAUUAGAGUGUUCAAAGCAGGCGUAUGCUCGGAUACAUUAGCAUGGAAUAAUGAAAUAGGACGCGUGGUGCUAUUUUGUUGGUUUCUAGAACCGCCGUAAUGAUUAAUAGGGAUAGUUGGGGGCAUUAAUAUUCAAUUGUCAGAGGUGAAAUUCUUGGAUUUAUUGAAGACUAACUUCUGCGAAAGCAUUUGCCAAGGAUGUUUUCAUUAAUCAAGAACGAAAGUUAGGGGAUCGAAGACGAUCAGAUACCGUCGUAGUCUUAACCAUAAACUAUGCCGACUAGGAAUCGGGCGAUGUUAUUCUCAUGACUCGCCCGGCGCCUUAUG
rnacentral:rRNA from 1 species